rnacentral:lncRNA from 1 species
GAGAGUUGAAGUUGUUGAGAUCGAUAGAAGUGCAGAGAUGCUUUUCGCUGGAAAGAUUUCCAGUCGCGGCGGAUCUACCCUACUACUACGGUAUGAGUUGUAUAAAGCUGGACUUGAGAGGAUGCACAAACUUUGCUAACGUGAAUUCAGAUCUCGCUCCCCUCGCCGAUUUGGAUAUGCAUAACCUCACUAUCCACUGGCCAGAUGAACCCUUGGAGUGGUGGAUGGCCCCAUGAUCACCCUCGCCGGGAUGCCCCCCUUAGCUCGCACUUCUUAUACAUUAGUAAUAACUUUUUGUUCAAGUUUUCACAUUAAUUCCUUGAGGUCCAUCUCUAGCUCUCUGGUGACGAUUGUAUCUUCUGAUUGCAUAUUUUCUCGAAGUGUCUUUUUCCAAUGAUGAGACUAUGUUAGUUGGACGUUGUAAUAAA